GGUCAAUUCAUAGCUUGUUGCCAUUGGUUUUUAAUCAGCUACAGAAAAUCACGGAUGGCCGUGACAAUGUGCCACAGCGUGUUGCGUUUCCGAAUUUGACAUUGACUUUGCUUCCAAAACGAAUCCUUGUCAGUCGGUCAUGCUUUGUUUUUUAUGUUUCGAUAAUCUACUCCGCUCAAGUAUCAUUCCAAAAUUGUUUGUUCUGUCCGAGAAAAAUAGCUUGUUCAGCUUGAUAGUUAUAUGGGGUACCUCGCCGUGUGCCUCACGAAAUUCGUCCAGCAGACGGUAGUAGUGCUCCGUGGCUAUCGGUUCUGUGCUGGCCUUACAAUUGGCAUGGUCCUCGCUUUCCUCCUCAAGGAGGAAAUUCUUCUACUGCGCGAGGGCAUAGGGCAGAUUCUCAAUAUUCCCUGGGCUCUGCUGUCCGAUGCCCUCACGCAGUACAAGAAUUUCCUCCUCAAGGAGGAAAGCUAGGACCAUGCCAAUUGCAAUGCCAGCAGUGAUCCCAUAGCCAUACGGGGGACCUCGCCGUGUGCCUCAGGAAAUUCGUGCAGCAGACGGUAGUAGUGCUCCGUGGCUAUCGGUUCAGUGCUGGCCUUACAAUUGGCAUGGUCCUCGCUUUUCUCCUCAAGGAGGAAAUUCUUCUACUGCGCGAGGGCAUAGGGCAGAUUCUCAAUAUUCCCUGGGCUCUGCUGUCCGAUGCCCUCACGCAGUACAAGAACUUCCUCCUCGAGGAGGAAAGCUAGGACCACUCGAAUUGCAAUGCCAGCAGUGAGCCCAUAGCCACGGAGCCUUACCACCGGCUGUUGGACGAACUGCCUGGGGCAUACGGCAAGGUCCCCCAGAUAAAUCUUAAGCUGAACAAGAUAUUCCUCAAGCGGCUGGACGAGAGCGACUACCUUCAUUCUCAGAGCGGAGAUUCAACGUGUCUCCCACUCCAGCUGCGACGGAUCACUUUCCAAUUAUGGGUGGACUUCCUACUGCAGAGGAGGCAUUCGGAAAGGUCAUGUCGGUCAAUGGGGAGCAACAAAAGACGCUGGACGAGAACCGAAACCUGCCCAAGGACCAAGGACUGCAUAAUCAUCAAGUUCCUACAGAAUGCCUAUCACCGGAACAUUUGGGACACGGACAGCUUUUUACUGGAGACCCAACUGUCCACCAGUUGCCGGACAUAUUCUGCGAGCAGCUUCAUCCGAUUCCGGCAGGCCUCCACGGACUGGAUUUGAUGUCUACCGUGCAUAAAGUAUCUUCAGAAUUUGGCUCUCUUGCUCAUCUUUCACAGAGAGUUUAUCCAGAAAGCAAGAAGCCACCAAAACCCCGGCCCUCUCCAUUUCUUCCUUCGGCAUCUUGGAGAACGGCACAUGCUGUGGCCCAUUCGCAAGGCAAUCCGUGAUCUUCUGUAGCUGAUUAAAAGCCAAUGGCAACAAGCUAUUAAUUGACCUCA